UGGGGAAUAUUGCGCAAUGGGGGAAACCCUGACGCAGCGACGCCGCGUGCGGGAUGAAGGCCUUCGGGUUGUAAACCGCUUUUGAUUGGGAGCAAGCUUUCGGGUGAGUGUACCUUUCGAAUAAGCGCCGGCUAACUACGUGCCAGCAGCCGCGGUAAUACGUAGGGCGCAAGCGUUAUCCGGAAUUAUUGGGCGUAAAGAGCUUGUAGGCGGUUCGUCGCGUCUGGUGUGAAAGCCCAUCGCUUAACGGUGGGUUUGCGCCGGGUACGGGCGGGCUAGAGUGCAGUAGGGGAGACUGGAAUUCCCGGUGUAACGGUGGAAUGUGUAGUUAUCGGGAAGAACACCAAUGGCGAAGGCAGGUCUCUGGGCUGUUACUGACGCUGAGAAGCGAAAGCGUGGGGAGCGAACAGG
rnacentral:rRNA from 2 species